GAAAAUCUCUCCUUUUUGCUGAACAGUCCCUCCCCCCGCUCUCUCUCUCUCUCGCUCGAAACCCUCCCCAGGCCCGCCGACCCUCUGGCCCGACCCGGCCGAACACGGCCCCUCCGGCCUCCUCCGGCCACGGACCCGGGCUCCCCUGGGAUCGCCGGCCCACGACGAGCCUCCCUAUGGUGUCGCCGUGCCCCGCCGCUGCUCCCAGGCUCGGAUCGAAGAAGCUCAGCCGUGCGAAACCCGACCCGGCCGGAAAACCUCGACGCCGGCGAUGCACGGGCCGAUCCUUCCCAUUUUCGUGAUCUCCUCCUCCCCCUGAUCAUCCCCAUGAUCUGAUCAGACGCACCAGAUUAAUCCAAACUUCAAAGCUUGAUCUAGGACGAUCUAGGCCGAACCAGACUUAGCUCCAGGUACUUGACGGUUUGAGUU